rnacentral:rRNA from 1 species
UACGAAGGGGGCUAGCGUUGCUCGGAAUCACUGGGCGUAAAGGGUGCGUAGGCGGGUCUUUAAGUCGAGGGUGAAAUCCUGGAGCUCAACUCCAGAACUGCCUUUGAUACUGAAGAUCUUGAGUUCGGGAGAGGUGAGUGGAACUGCGAGUGUAGAGGUGAAAUUCGUAGAUAUUCGCAAGAACACCAGUGGCGAAGGCGGCUCACUGGCCCGAUACUGACGCUGAGGCACGAAGCGUGGGAGCAACAGG